rnacentral:tRNA from 1 species
GCCGGUGUGGCGGAAUGGCAGACGCGCCUGACUCAAAAUCAGGUGGGCCUUAGGCCCGUGGGGGUUCAACUCCCUCCACCGGCA